GGGGGCGACCAGGUCUCGACGUGGUCGGUUCUCCGGUCGAGCAGCGAGCCGAGGUCGCCGGUCGGCCUCGUAAAACAACCGGCACCAAACGCAAGUGCGAAGAACGAUCUCGCACUCGCCGCCUAGUCGAAACUAGGUCUGGCGACGUCCCAUCCCGGUUCGGCCCGAGGCCGGGGGUCGGGGCGCCAACGAUCGGGCUCGGAGCCGAAGGAGCGCCAAUCGCCGGAGGCUCGACACCCAAAGGAUAGGCUGGCCCGCCGGUAGGGUGUUCGCCCCCGGCCGUCGGGCGAGACGAAAGCGCGGACUACGCUCGUAGACGUUCGGUCGGUACGACUGCGGACGCGGGUUCGAUUCCCGCCGCCUCCAUUC
rnacentral:tmRNA from 1 species